GCAAAAUAUAUUUUAUACCUGAAAAAUAAAUUUCACAAUUUUUAGAAGUUUGUCAAAAUGUUGAAUAUUUUUGUGAAAAAAUUAUGUUUUGUAUUCAUUCUAAGCCUUUUACUGGCAAAAAUGGCAGAAUCUGAACGUAGCCCAAAUUGUUAUGUUAAAUGUGCAAAUACAUAUGAUCCAGUAUGUGCUUAUAAUGGACAUUGUUAUCAAAAAUUUGGUAAUGCUUGUGCAGUUGCUACAGAAAAUUGUCAAAUACAAGAGGGAGCCCCAAAAUUUGAAGUAGUUUCAAUGGAGUAUUGCAACACUUAUCCUCGUCUUCGUUACAAAUGGUGUGAUUGUCCUAGAAAUUGCCCUAAAACAGAAAUUCCCGUAUGUGGUUUUGCAGGAGAUUGUUACAAAAAUUUUUCAAAUGAGUGUGAGCUUAAAAAACAAAAUUGCUAUUUUCCAUACGUGUUUUUCGUGAAAUCUUAUGAUGGUGAAUGUGAUCCUAAUGCUGCUAUGUGCCCUAUGAAAUAACACGUGUCAUUGACAUUUGAUGAAUUUUGAUUAUUUUAAAUAUGUUAUACAAUAAUUGAUAUACACUACUCAUCCUAAAUUACAUAGGUAGAUUGCUUUGUAAAGCAGUAUUUUCACUUGUUGAAGGAUAAAAUGCUACAUUAGAAACCAUUGGUUC